AACAGACUUAGUCCUAACCUUACUAUUAAUUUCUGCCAGACCUAUACAUGCAAGUAUCCGCGACCCAGUGUAAAUGCCCUCAACCCCAACCAAGACGAGAGGAGCUGGCAUCAGGCACACCCCCAUCGUAGCCCAAGACGCCUUGCUUAGCCACACCCCCACGGGUAUUCAGCAGUAACUAACAUUAAGCAAUAAGUGCAAACUUGACUUAGCCAUGGCAGCCCAGGGUUGGUAAAUCUUGUGCCAGCCACCGCGGUCAUACAAGAAGCCCAAAUUAAUAGUUCACGGCGUAAAGAGUGGUCUAACACUAUCCCCCAAACUGAGGUUAAAACGUACCUAAGCCGUCAUAAGCCCAAGACACGCCUAAACCCCACCAUCACUCCAACCUCAGUAUCAAUGAUUAACCGAACCCACGAAAGCCAAGACACAAACUGGGAUUAGAUACCCCACUAUGCUCGGCCAUAAAUCCAAGUGCUUUAUACACCCAAGCACUCGCCAGGGAACUACGAGCACAAACGCUUAAAACCCUAAGGACUUGGCGGUGUUCCAAACCCACCUAGAGGAGCCUGUCCUAUAAUCGAUAACCCACGCUACACCCAACCCCCUCUCGCCCAAGCAGCCUACAUACCGCCGUCGUCAGCCCACCUCCUCUGAGAGCCAAACAGUGAGCCCAACAGCCUAACCCGCUAAAAAGACAGGUCAAGGUAUAGCCCAUGAGGUGGCAGAGAUGGGCUACAUUUUCUGAUACAGACAACCCAUCAACGGAAAGGAGCCUGAAACUGACCCCUAGAAGGCGGAUUUAGCAGUAAAAUGCAACCAUCGUGCCCAUUUUAAACCGGCCCUGGAACACGUACAUACCGCCCGUCACCCUCCUCACAAGCAGCACCACCACAAACUAUUACCCCAACCAAGCUAAAGAUGAGGUAAGUCGUAACAAGGUAAGUGUACCGGAAGGUGCACUUAGAACAU
rnacentral:ncRNA from 1 species